GAGCAACCCCCGCGUGAAUGAAAGAAGGGUUUCGGCUUCGUAAAACUUCUGUUGUUAAAGAAGAACAUAUCUGAGAGUAACUGUUCAGGUAUUGACGGUAUUUAACCAGAAAGCCACGGCUAACUACGUGCCAGCAGCCGCGGUAAUACGUAGGUGGCAAGCGUUGUCCGGAUUUAUUGGGCGUAAAGCGAGCGCAGGCGGUUUUUUAAGUCUGAUGUGAAAGCCUUCGGCUCAACCGAAGAAGUGCAUCGGAAACUGGGAAACUUGAGUGCAGAAGAGGACAGUGGAACUCCAUGUGUAGCGGUGAAAUGCGUAGAUAUAUGGAAGAACACCAGUGGCGAAGGCGGCUGUCUGGUCUGUAACUGACGCUGAGGCUCGAAAGUAUGGGUAGCAAACAGGAUUAGAUACCCUGGUAGUCCAUACCGUAAACGAUGAAUGCUAAGUGUUGGAGGGUUUCCGCCCUUCAGUGCUGCAGCUAACGCAUUAAGCAUUCCGCCUGGGGAGUACGGCCGCAAGGCUGAAACUCAAAGGAAUUGACGGGGGCCCGCACAAGCGGUGGAGCAUGUGGUUUAAUUCGAAGCUACGCGAAGAACCUUACCAGGUCUUGACAUACUAUGCAAAUCUAAGAGAUUAGACGUUCCCUUCGGGGACAUGGAUACAGGUGGUGCAUGGUUGUCGUCAGCUCGUGUCGUGAGAUGUUGGGUUAAGUCCCGCAACGAGCGCAACCCUUAUUAUCAGUUGCCAGCAUUAAGUUGGGCACUCUGGUGAGACUGCCGGUGACAAACCGGAGGAAGGUGGGGAUGACGUCAAAUCAUCAUGCCCCUUAUGACCUGGGCUACACACGUGCUACAAUGGAUGGUACAACGAGUUGCGAACUCGCGAGAGUAAGCUAAUCUCUUAAAGCCAUUCUCAGUUCGGAUUGUAGGCUGCAACUCGCCUACAUGAAGUCGGAAUCGCUAGUAAUCGCGGAUCAGCAUGCCGCGGUGAAUACGUUCCCGGGCCUUGUACACACCGCCCGUCACACCAUGAGAGUUUGUAACACCCAAAGUCGGUGGGGUAACCUUUAGGAACCAGCCGCCUAAAGUGACAGGAAGAUUGGA
rnacentral:rRNA from 1 species